rnacentral:rRNA from 1 species
UACGGGGGGAGCAAGCGUUGUUCGGAUUUACUGGGCGUAAAGGGCGCGUAGGCGGUCAGCACAAGUCAGUUGUGAAAUCUCCGGGCUUAACUCGGAAAGGUCAACUGAUACUGUGCGACUAGAGUGCGGAAGGGGCAACUGGAAUUCUCGGUGUAGCGGUGAAAUGCGUAGAUAUCGAGAGGAACACCUGCGGCGAAGGCGGGUUGCUGGGCCGACACUGACGCUGAGGCACGAAAGCGUGGGGAUCAAACAGG